UACGUAGGGGGCAAGCGUUGUCCGGAAUCAUUGGGCGUAAAGAGCGUGUAGGCGGCCCGGUAAGUCCGCUGUGAAAGUCCAGGGCCUCAACCGUGGGAUGCCGGUGGAUACUGUCGGGCUCGAGUCCGGAAGAGGAGUGUGGAAUUCCUGGUGUAGCGGUGAAAUGCGCAGAUAUCAGGAGGAACACCGGUGGCGAAGGCGGAUCUCUGGGCCUUACCUGACGCUGAGGCGCGAAAGCUAGGGGAGCAAACAGG
rnacentral:rRNA from 1 species